GGAUGUCUGGUCGUACAGGAAAGGGCAGGGGCGACUCCCCACUCUUCAAAACCCUAGAACUUCACUAAAUCUUGCAAAUUGAAGGUCCAAUUCAGUCCAAAAUCGAAAUUUAAGCAUGGAUUAUUGAUCCUCAUCACAAGAGGAUUAAAAGGUGUACCUUAUAUGCUUGCGAAGUUUGACUCUGACAAGCUAGGUAGGAGCUUGGAAAUAAAGGGGUCAAAUGGAUACAAGUUCAAGUAUGAAGCUCGCAAGGAUGCAAGGUAAGUAUAACUUACACUAGUCAUAUAUUUUAGAAUGUUCUUUUGUCGUAUUGACUACGAAUAAGACAAAUGGUAAUUUAGUCACACGUUGACAAUAAUCGUUAGUUUUAAAAGACGCUUUCCCACGUAAGACAUAAAGAGCCGAAAGUGGUAAUAAACGGUUUAUAAAUAAAAUGAGCAUACGGUGUUAAAAGGAGCGAGUCAUGGAGAUGAGAUGAUAAUAAAUAUUAUCUCGCAAAGAUAAACGGUCAAUUCGGCCAAACGGGUCAAAAGGUGUAGACAUCACCUUUUGACAAUAUCGACUAAUGAUUCUGGUGUCGAGUUAUAUGUUCACAGGAGUAGAUAUCCAAUGGAUACUCGCAUCGCUCUUAAUUAGCAAUUACAAAGCAAGGUAUUAAACCGGGUUAUUAAGUUGAUCCGAGCCUGGUAUGUAUAAUAGAUUAACUCAUCAUGUAGAACUUGAAGUUCUAUGAAAGUUAGGCAAAAAAAAAAGGGCAUUCGGUUACCUUAAUAGGUAAACCGAAGGAUUUAAAUUAUAGACAGAGUGUUUUGAAAACAAGAAUUGGUUAAAAAUGAGAAAUUAGAAUCAAACAACAGGUUUGUUUGAUAAAUCACGAACGGGUCAAAUUUGGUAAAAAGGGGUAAUAAGCCGAAGAAUUGAAAGUCUAAAAUUUUGUUAAUCCAGAUGUUGGGUCUUGACUCCAUUUGAUGGAGGUUCAAUUUACAAUCACGUAGGAAGAAACGGUAGGUCAAACGGACAACCGGAUUAAAAGUUAUGAAGGUUUCCGUUUUAGAAAUCGGCAAACUUGGAAAAUCUUGCAGAGGCCACCGUAAGUUACGGUAGCUACCGUAACUUACGGUAGCCUUAAAAAUCUUUACGCCUUAAACCCACUGAGUUACGGUGGAAGAAUCAACAUUCAGGGGCUACCGUAAAUUACGGUAGCCACCGUAAUUUACGGUAGACCCUGUAACAAAAUUUAUUUUAAUCAGUUUCGUUUCCCAGAACUCGUUAGACACGUUUAUAACCCCCGUAAGACUAAAGCAUUUCUUGUUUAUGAAAUGUAGGUACAUUUUGGAUGCCGGAAGACGAUCAAGCUCAUUGGAGAACCGAACACGAUAAAGAUACAUGCUUCCGCACAGUGUCCCGUCGUAAAUUUUAAACGACGAAUUCAAUUACGUUAUGUCGAAUAACUUAUAAUUUGUAAAAGUUUUAAUAAACCCAUAUUUUUAUAGUAUGUGUAGUCUUAUCUACACAACUAAAUGUUGGUAAUUAUAUGUAAAACCGUUAAAUAGUAAUUAGGGUGUUAAAAGUUGGUAAUCAGAGCUCAUGGUUAAAAAGUAAAGUGUGUUCGGUUCGAGGCUUGAUCGCAAAUCCGGUAAGUACAUGUAUGUUAAUGGUUGUCCUGUUAAGGUGUUGUAAACAACGCAUAGGGUUAUUGUAUAAUACACAUUACCCAAGUUAAAUGGUUGAAGUAGUUGACGAACUUUCGCGCGUUGACGCAUAUAGUAGGAAAAGCCUUGUAUUAUAAUACGGGCGAUUAUUUAAAGUUGACGUUACUAACUUUUGUGAAUGUUAUAGUUGAAGGACACUCGCGUUUGAAGAGGACGAGAGAAACAAAUAGAGGCAUGACGAGAGGAACAUGCUCACUAAGGACUAAAUCGCGUAAAGACCGCGAACAAGGUUAAUGGCAAGAAACGCCCAUCGGGGCAAGCAUUAUCAGGUAUGUGCUUUUAAAUAUAAUCGCGCAAUUAGCAAUGUGCAACAAACAUGUAAAGAAUGAUUGUCGCAUAUGUAAAUUAGAAACUUGGGAAACCUGAAUAGAAUACCUAUCCAGGAUAUUAUCUCCAAGAAAACUAAAUAGAGGUGUUACUUACAUGGGGUGUGAUGUGAAAACUAUAAAAAGGUCGUGUAUGUCAUGUGUUAAUCGCUUACUCUGGCCAAGUAAGUAGUGGCAUAUGGUACCAUGAACUUCUUAUGGCGGACACGUUUACAUCCGAUGUAGUAAGGGCGGGGUGAAUGGGACUAAUUAAAAAGUACCCAAAUGAAUCAGCUAAGCAAAAUAUUUGAUAAUAAUGUAAACGCACAACCGAGUGACGGAAGCGUAUUACAUUAGGAUAAUGAGCCUGAGUGAAGGGACAAAGAAACAUGUAAAAUGAUUUAGACAAGAAUUGGGAGGGAGUGUACUUACACUCGAACCCAGAAAACGCAAGCAUGUAAAAUGAUUUAGACAAGUAUUGGGAGGGAGUGUACUUACACUCGAACCCGGAAAACGCAAGCAUGUAAAAUGAUUUAGACAAGAAUUGAGAGGGGGUGUACUUACACUCGAACCCGGAAAACGCAAACAUGUAAAAUGAUUUAGACAAGUAUUGGGAGGGGGUGUACUUACACUCGAACCCGGAAAAUGCAGAUAUAUCCCUUAAUGAGUCGUUUUUGUAAAACGUCAAACUUAAGGACAAAGUCGGAAUAUAAAAAUGAAGCGAGGUCUUAAUGCAUACCGGGAGGGUUGCAAUAAUAACGACUUUGGUAAAACACCCGGUUGAUGGGUCAGAAUUAAACACAUACGUAAACCAAGAGACGUGAGUAAAUACGUUCAACUAUUCGAAGUCGAAUUGGUUGAAUAAAGAAUAAAGUUGAUUGUUUAUAAGUAAUGGAUUUCACGUUAAUAGGUCAAACAGGUUGAAUACAUUAUAACGCCGAAUGGCACAAACGAGCGCUAGCCAGAUAAAGGUAGCGAUAAAUGCAAGAGAAUAAUGAGCCCGGUAAUGGAUAUAACCAAAUAAGAAUAUAUGCAAAUCAAAUAACAGUAAGCAUAAGAAGAACUGACGCAUAAAUGACAUGAGAAGUCAUAAUUUCGGAAAAUUGUCUGAAAGAAAACAAUUAUAGCCAUGAAACUACAAUUAAGAUUAACGGGACCUAAGCUUGAAACCAAAUGAUUCUUUGAACAAAAACAGGGUGCCUUGACACCAGACAUGUAAUUUAAGAAUGACAUGAGUAAGGAGUGAUCUACGGGAUCAACAUAACCUUUAG
rnacentral:lncRNA from 1 species